AGCAAAGGCAAGGAAAACAAUGGCCUCUUCACAGGACUUCGUCCUCCACAAAGCUCAGGGACCACAAGGGCUACCAGCCGGCUGGGAAAGCAAAGCCUGCAGCUUCUGAGACUCUUCAGCUGGGGAUAUGCACCCAUCGAUCUGCGGAUGUGUGCACCUAUGCGUUUGCUGGCCCUGAACUCAAUUUGCAGCCUAAACAGGCCUUGAAUUGAUGAUCCUUCUGCCUCAGCCUCCCUCGUAGUGGAAUUACAGGCCAUCAGCAAGUCGCCUGAGGGGGAUCACAGCCAGGAACAGACUUUUCCUGCCCAGGUGACAGGACUUCAUGGUGGGCCCUGAAAAGUCUCUGUGGAAGGUCGAGGAGGCCGAGAACGCCCAGACGAUGGAGAACACAGAGCCAGAACAAACAAACAAAGACGCCACAUAGUAUGUUGAAAAUAGACAGCAGGACUGCACCACACCUGCUUUUUCGCUGGCGCCGGCUAAGCAGCUCGCCUCACUGUGGCCGCACUUGUGACCUUGAGACUAGCUGGUGAAUCUGGUCUGCUGCUUCUGCCCGCCACUGCCGACUACGGGGGCGUGGUCCCAUCGUGCUGCGAAAGGUCAAGGGUCAGAGCGGUGUCUCCUAAGUGUGGCUCGCCUCUGCACCACUGUGAGGUUGAAAGAUUGCAAAUCCUUCUGAACAAGCCUGCUUUGCAGUGGGAGAAACUCUUCCAGGCCUUCCGUGAAGUCCUGUAACCUGGGCAGGAAAGGGCAGACUCCUGGCUGCUAUCCGGUGGAAAACAGAUUUUACUGGCCUACAGAUCUCUUCCUUCAAGUGUCAAAUAAAUCAUCUGGAGGGACCGUGUGCUUUAAAAAUAAUGGAAGUAACGUGAGGGAAACAAACAGACCCGAGGGCUGGAGAAACGGCUCAGCAGAGGUGAAGGACAUGCGCUGAUCUUGCAGGGGACCUGGGUUCUAGUCCCAGAAUUCACGUGGCAACUCACGACCAUCUGUAACUCCGGUUCCAGGGGACUCGACACCUUCUGACCGCCACCAGCACCAGGCAUGCGCAUGGCGCGCAGGCAUCCACUUAGGCGGAACACCCAUUCGUAGGAAAAAGAAACGAACUAAAAAACGCACAUAAAGUCAGCACCUGCUUCCCAUUCCUCACGCCAGCCUCACCUCAGCCCUGUCGUAUGUUAGCUCGGCAACCGAGAGGCUUUGUUCUGGGCGUGUCUUUUGUUUGUUUGAGGCAGGGCCUCACUAUGUCGCUCUGGAUGGUCCGGAACUGUCUGUGUACACCAGGCUGGCCUCUCGCUCACAGAGACCUGCCUGCCUCUGCCUCCUGAGUUAAAGAUACGUGCGGCUGUGUCACCCCGCCCUGUUUUUUUUUUUUUUUAAGAAAAGGGUUUAUUUUUCUACUAUUUUAAAAUUAUGUGUAUUUGUGUAUCUAUGUGAUGGUGCUUGUGGGUGGUCCUGGAGUCCAGAAGAGGGCAUUGGAACCUCUGGAGCUAGAGUUGCAGGUGUUGGUGAGAUACCUCACGUAGGCGCUGGGACUUGAACUUUGAUCUUCUGCAAGAGCAGUAAGAGCUCCUAAGCGCUGAGACAACCCAGAACAGCUUUUCAAUGCAAAAUUUCCUAUAAAGUCCAUAGUUUUAGAUCCCUGACCCGUGAUAACUGCCAAAUGCCUUACCACUUAUUAAGGAUGGGAGCGAUACCAUUAAUAAUUCUCUGGGACUUUUUCUCUGUACGGGAAGAUAAGGCACAGACAUGUGUACAUGCUCUCUCUCGACACAAUUGCACACAAUGCACACUGCGCAGUCAUAAAUGUGUUGGGAAAGGGGUCCUGGCUUGGGCCUAGUCAUUGGCAAAUGCUUUUAUAUAUAUGAAUAUAUAUCAUUAUAUAUAUUCAGCUUUCCACCCCCUUGUGAGCCAGGUAUUGAAGGAUGGGCACUCACUCAUUUGGGCAAUUACUAAAUAUUUAUCCAGCUCUUAUGAUAUUACAUGUAUUUGCUUGGUGCAGAGAAAACAGGUCAGUUAAAUAGGCCCUGACUUGCAAGUGCUCCAAGCCUGAAGAUGGACCUAUUUGAGCAAAAGUGUGGGUAAAUUGUUAGGGAAUUAUCAGGGGGUGCAGCAGGCAGUGCCCUCAAGUGGAAUCUCUAAUGGGCCUAUUACCAAUGGCUAAGAUCAAUAGGGGCCAUCAAUCCAGCACAAUGGUGCUGGCUUCAGCUGAGGGAGAAAGAUGGUCAUGUAGAGGCAAGUGAAUGUGCUAAGCAAUGGCUCUCUAAUUCCCUCUGUGUGCCAAGGGCGAAUGGGGUUAUGCCCUCAGCACCUCCUCACAGUCCAUGCAAAACCAAACUGGCAAGGGCUCCUCAGGCCUGGCUCGCCAGACGCCGUGGAGCAGCCUGCUUUCCCUCCUACGGCAGCUAUCACAUCCUCGUAAUCUCCAGGGUCCUCUUUGUACCCCCACAAGACUAUAAGCUCCAUGACAUCGGGGUGACUGUCAUGUCCACCGUUGUGCCCCAGGGUCCAGCACAAAGUGGUUCAUGGUAAGUGCUCGGUAAAAUAUUUAUUCAAGGAAUGAAUAAUACAUAGGUGGAGGUGAAAGCAGCAAGGCCAAGGGCUUGCAAGUCCCUUAGAAUCUAGAAUAGUUCCUUUUAAAUACCUUUAUUAUUACCUACUUGUGGGCCUUAGCUAUAACCAAAGCCCAGCGAAGACUUUAACAUUUUAAUUUUAAUUGGCAGAGAACAAAUUAUAUUCGGUGCGAUAAUUUGAUGCACACAAUAGGAAAUGAUCAAUUCUAGGUAAUCGACAUUUUCAUCUUCUUGAAUAGUCAUCAUCUCCUUGUGUUUGGGAAACUUAAAAACCUUUCUUCUUGUUUUUUUCUUUUUAAAAAUGUAUACUGAGUCGCAAGUUACAGUCAUCCUGUCUUGCUAUAGAACACUAGAACCAGUUUUUCCAAUUUGCCUGCAUUUUGAUACCCACCAUCCAACACCCUGCUCCAUCCUCACCUCCUCUCAUUUCUUGGCCAUUAGUAACCACAUCCUAGGCUCUUCUUUCCUGCUGUGCUUACAUAGUUUCCAUGCAUGGAUGAGAGCCGUAGCGUUUAUCCUUUUGCUCUGUUUCACCUAACACAAACGUCCUCUGGUGCUGUCCAUUUUGUUGCAAAUGCCAGGAUUUUGACAAAUCAAAGCCACAGUGCAACAGCAUCCGACCCCUGCUAGCAUAGCUAUCACAAAAGCAAACCGUAACAAAUGCAGGCAAGAAGGCAUGAAAAGGGGGGGGGGGGAGCUCUUGUGCAUGGCUGAUGGGAAUGUAAAUUAAUAUGAUCAUUCAUUGAGACCAGCAACCCUUCUGGGGAUAUAUCCAAAGUAAAUGGUUGCAUCAUGGCAAGAAGGCCCUGGUGCUCUCGUGUACAUUACCCUGUCAUCCACAACAGCCAAGCUAUCAAGCAAGGUUCUUAUCAACAGACGCACGGAUAAAGAAAAUGUUGCAUAUACACAUAACGCACACAUGUACCAGUUAUGUCCUGUCACUGCGGCCACAAUACUUGACUGAAGCAACUUGAAAAAAAGAAAGGUUUCAUUUUCUCCUAGUUUCUCAAAGAGUCUCAUGUCAACAUGGCAGAGAAAGUGUAGGGAAGCAGCUUAAUUCACGGUGAUAGGACUGUGAGGUCCAAGCUGGUCACACUCUGGUACACCAGAAAGCAGAGAGAGACCAGACAUCCAAGACCCACACUAGAGACUUCUACCACUUAAGCCCCGCCUCCUAAAGUUCCACAGCCUUCCAGCACAUUUACUGUGCAUUGGUGGGACAAGGCGUGAGUGUGCCAAGAUCUACACGUGGUAGUGUGAGGACCAGUUGCAGGAGUCGAUUCUCUCCUUUCUCCAUGUGGGACUGAGGCUCAAACUGAAAUCAUCACUUUCGACAGCAAGUGCCUUUACCCAGAGAGCCAUCUCCUAGCCCUGUAAAACCCUAAUUAAUAAUAACCAUAGAUUGGGAGAGCAUGGCCUAGACUUCAUCUAAGUAGUGAGAAACCUCUCUUUCUUGCCCUCCAAGUCCCUAUGAAAGUCAUUACUUCCAGGGUGAACCGAUGAGAUUGACUAAUCAUUAUACUUUACAACGUGAAAAUGUGACAUUUAGCAUUUGCAAAAUGUGGUGUUUUGAAUGAAGAUGGGUCCUCUAGGCUCGUAUGUUUGAAUAUAUAGUCCUCAAUUACAGGAACUGUUAGAGAAGGAUUGGGAGGUGUGGUCUUGUUGGAGAAGGUGUGUCACUGGGGUCAGGCAGGCUUGGAGGUUUCUAAAGCCCAUAGCAUGCCCAAUUGGCUCUCUCUGCCUCUGGCUUUCAGAUCAAGGAUGUGAACUCCUGGCUGCUGCUUCAGCUGCCUGCCAUCGUUAUUUCACUCCACCAUUGCAGGCUCUAACUGUAAUAGCCAGAAUCUGGAAACAACCUAAAUGUUCUUCAACAGAGGAAUGGGUACAGAAAUUGCAGCACAUUUACACAAUGAAAUACUGCUCAGCUAUUAAAAACAAAGAACUCAUGAAACUUACAGGCAAAUGUAUGGAACUAGAAAAGGUCAUCCUGAGUGAGGUAACCCAGAAACAGAAAGACAUGCAUGCUAUAUACUCACUUAUAAGCAGAUAUUAGCUUAUAAUAUAGGCUAAUAACCAUACUAAAAUCUACAGACCUAAAGAAGCUAAACAACAAGGAAGACCCUAGGGAGGAUGCUUAAAUUUCAUUCAGAAUGGCAAACAGGAUAGACACCAGAAGCGGUGGAAGACAGGGAACAGGAUGGGAGCCUACCAUAGAGGGUCCUCUGAAGGGCUCCACCCAACAGGAGAUUGAAGCAGAUGCUGAGACUCACAGCCAAACUUUGGGCAUAGCACAGGGAGUCUAAUGAAAUAAGGGGGGAUAGAAUGACAUGGGGCAGGGCAGGAGCCCCACAAGGAGACCAACAAAGCUCAAAUAGCUGAGCCCAGGGGGUCCUUCAGAGACUGAUGUACCAACCAUGCAUGGAGAGGACCUAGACGCCGGCUCAGAUGUAGCCGAUAGGCAGCCCAGUCUCCAUUUAAGUCCUCGAAUGAGGGUAGCAGGGGCUGCAUCUGUCAUGAGCUCAGUUGCCUGCUCUUUGAUCACUUGCCCCUGGUGAUGCAGCCUUGCCAGGCCACAGAGGGAGAGAAUCCAGGCAGUCCUGAUGAGACUUGACAAGCUAUGGGCAGAUGGCAAUAGUGGAGAACUCCCCGUUUCAGUGGACUAGGGGAAGGGAAUGGGGGGAAGAGGGAGAGAGCAUGGGACUGAGAGGAGGUGAGGGAGGGGGCUAAAAUCAGGAUAUAUAACAAAUAAGUUGUAAAAAAAAAUUUUAAAUGCAAAAACAAAACAACAAC